rnacentral:misc_RNA from 1 species
UUUCCGUAGGUGAACCUGCGGAAGGAUCAUUUUUGAAUAACCGAGCUGCGAGGCCUCUCUCUGACCCCCCAGGCCGUUCACGCCCGAGUGCCCCCCCACACAUCCAUCUCACCCCUCCGUGCACCACCGCGUGGGUCCCCCUUUGGCCUGUUCGGAUGGGGGCUUACGUUUUCACACAAAUUUUGUAUGCAGUGUAGAUUCUACUUUUUGUUUUUGCGUUCACGCAAUCAAUACAACUGCAAACAACGGAUCUCUUGGCCCUCGCAUCGUUGAAGAACG